UACGUAGGGUGCGAGCGUUGUCCGGAAUUAUUGGGCGUAAAGAGUGUGUAGGCGGUGCUCUAAGUUCGGUGUGAAAUCUCCUGGCUUAACUGGGAGGGUGCGCCGAAAACUGGAGUGCUCGAGCGUGGGAGAGGAAAGCGGAAUUCCUGGUGUAGCGGUGAAAUGCGUAGAUAUCAGGAGGAACACCUGCGGUGUAGACGGCUUUCUGGACCAUUGCUGACGCUGAGACACGAAAGCGUGGGUAGCAAACAGG
rnacentral:rRNA from 1 species